rnacentral:lncRNA from 1 species
GACUGGGGACUGGCAUAGGAGGCCGAGUGAGUAUCAGCUGGAGAAGAUGCAAUCGCACCUUAUGUUCCCAUCUAGUUUGGAGAACAGCCCAAGGAGUUUUUCAGGCUCUAGACCUCAAGAUCCUUCUUACCUCUCCGCAGAAUCAACUUCUUUCUCUGACAAGGGAGAAAGGCAAGGAGAGGAGGGAGGCUUUGCUACUCUCUCCUGAUACCUAGAAAAUCUUUCUGGAGCCAAAGGGCUCUGAGUUGAGUUUGCAAGAGGGGAGGACAAAGAAGGGAGUGUGUGAUGAUUUUAAGCAUAAAGGGGAUGAUGUGGGAGAAUUUUGGAAUUUUUUUUAGGGAAGUGGCUGUUCAAGGGAAGAACUCUAUUGUCCAAGGAGAGAAAAGGCUGGGACUGGUCCAUCAGUGAAGAGCACUUUUUGCCCAUUAUCUUCUCCCCAUAAAGGAUCCACUCUUGGAAGCGCCCCCUGGGGCCUUGGAACAUGAAGAUGGCUCAGAUGCCCAUAAUUCCAGUGAGGCCUCUCCUUGAUUGGGACACAAGGAGCUGAAAUUCAUUAUGUGAAUGAGUGAGAGAUGGGUGUUUAUACUCUGCAAAUGAAAGAGAGUGUAUGGGUAUGGGAGGACUGUGUGUGAGACAGGGAGUUCAAGCUUACAAAGGCCCUGUGUGUUUGAGCGUUCAAAGAGGGCCUAUAAUUAAAGAGAAACGCAGACAACCAACAGCAAUGAUAAGUCAUUUAUUUGGGG